GAUGAAGAACGUAGCGAAAUGCGAUACGUAAUGUGAAUUGCAGAAUUCAGUGAAUCAUCGAAUCUUUGAACGCAUAUUGCGCUCUUUGGUAUUCCGAAGAGCAUGCUUGUUUGAGUAUCAGUAAACACCUCAAAGCUUUUGGAUUUUUUAAUCGAAAAGCUUUGGACUUGAGCAAUCCCAACACCAAUCUUUUUGAGAUCGGUGGCGGGUUGCUUGAAAUGCAGGUGCAGCUGGACAUUCUCCUGAGAUAAAAGCAUAUUCAUUUAGUCCCGUCAAACGGAUUAUUACUUUUGCUGCAGCUAACAUAAAGGGAGUUUGACCGUAUUGGCUGACUGAUGCAGGAUUUCACAAGGGUCGGCAACGAUUCUUGUUAAACUCGAUCUCAAAUCAAGUAAGACUACCCGCUGAACUUAAGCAUAUCAAUAAGCGGAGGA
rnacentral:misc_RNA from 1 species